rnacentral:rRNA from 1 species
CAGUCGCCGCGGUAAUACAGAGGGUGCAAGCGUUAAUCGGAAUUACUGGGCGUAAAGCGCGCGUAGGUGGUUUGUUAAGUUGGAUGUGAAAGCCCCGGGCUCAACCUGGGAACUGCAUCCAAAACUGGCAAGCUAGAGUACGGUAGAGGGUGGUGGAAUUUCCUGUGUAGCGGUGAAAUGCGUAGAUAUAGGAAGGAACACCAGUGGCGAAGGCGACCACCUGGACUGAUACUGACACUGAGGUGCGAAAGCGUGGGGAGCAAACAGGAUUAGAUACCCGUGUAGUCCCUGUCUCUUAUAA